rnacentral:rRNA from 1 species
GACGAACGCUGGCGGCGUGCCUAAUACAUGCAAGUAGAACGCAGUUGCGAACGGGUGAGUAAAGCGUAGGUAACUGCCUCAUAGCGGGGGAUAACUAUUGGAAAAGAUAGCUAAUACCGCAUACUGUGAGAUGGACCUGAGUUGUAUUUGGUAGGUGGUGAGGUUAUGGCACACCAAGGCGACGAUACAUAGCCGACCUGAGAGGGUUAUCUGACCACAUGGGAAUGAGACUAGGCCCAGAAGCCUACGGGAGGCAGCAGGUGGGAAUCUUCGGGAAUGGACGGAAGUCUGACCGCGGAACGCCGGGGGAGUUAAUAAGGUUUUCGGAUCUUAAAGCUCUUUUGUUAGAGAAGCGGUAACUAACCAGAAAGGGACGGCUAACUACGUGCCAGCAGCCGCGGUAAUAC